rnacentral:rRNA from 1 species
AUGACUGCAGCUAAACUUGGGGAAUGUGGAUCUGUGUUGUGGUCUGCUCAUGCUCCACAUAUUCACAAGAUACAAAUUGUUAUUUCAACAGUGAUAGUUGUGUUAACCCUCGUCCUCACUGGUCUAGUUCUUUUGCGGAUAAUCCAGAAGAAGUCAUUUAUGGACAGACCGGUGAAUUCGAACAGCAGCCUCACGAUCUUCUCAAACGCCCAGAUAAAGAAAGCUACCGGAAAUUUCUCGGUAAAGCUUGGAGAAGGAGGUUUUGGCUGUGUUUUCAAGGGAACAUUGCAAGGUUCCUCUGUGGUGGCUGUCAAGAAGCUAAAAGAAUUUGGACAAGGGGAGAAGCAAUUCCGAGCGGAAGUGCAAACGAUUGGAAUGAUCCAACACAUCAAUGUUGUUCGUUUAUUUGGAUUUUGUGCCGAAGGAAGUAAAAGGCUGCUGGUGUACGAGUACAUGGAGAAUGGAUCUUUGAGUUCUCAUCUGUUUUCGAAAAGCCCGGCAGCUUUGGGCUGGGAGGUCCGGUACCGGAUAGCACUUGGAACUGCAAGAGGCUUGGCUUACCUGCAUGAGGGAUGCACGGACUGUAUCAUACACUGUGACAUGAAGCCGGACAAUGUACUCCUUGACGCAGAUUUCUGUCCUAAGGUUGCAGACUUUGGUUUGGCCAAACUUCUUGGCCGGGAUUUUAGCAGGGCAUUGACAACGAUGCGUGGGACCAUCGGAUACCUUGCGCCGGAGUGGAUCUCAGGGCUACCGAUCACGCAUAAGGCUGAUGCCUACAGCUACGGAAUGAUGCUUCUUGAAAUCGUAUCGGGGAAUGCGGAGAAAAUCAAACAGGGGAGGUUUACUUACUUUCCCAUCUUUGCUGCAGUCAAGGUGAAUGAAGGAGAUGUUAUGUGCCUGCUGGACAGCAGGUUGGAAGACGAUGUGGAUGUGGAUGUGGAGCAGCUGAUCAGGGCUUGCAGAACUGCAUGCUGGUGCAUUCAGGAUGCUGAAGAUCAUAGGCCAAUGAUGGGGCAAGUUGUUCAGAUGCUUGAAGGCGUUCUGGAUGUCCAAGUACCUCCCGUUCCAAGGUCGCUCCAGAAUUGGGUGGGCAUGGACGACUGCUCUCGCUCUACUGAUUUAUAUAGUCUCUGA